UUUUCUUAUACAUUGAAUCUUGUCAGGAUCCCCUAUUCUUUCAUUGUAUUUUCUCUUUUCCAGACAGAUUUGCUACUAACACAACCUUGCUCUUGCAUUAUAUGAUUUGCAUCAUAACCAUAUAAAAAAUGCGAAUUUUACAUCCUCGUUUUCUGUUGUGGGGUUGUCUGAUAUUUCUGGAUUAAUUAUAAGGACAGAUUAACG
rnacentral:misc_RNA from 1 species